AACAGUAUCUGUAAUAAUUCCAAGUUUUUGGCUAUAUAUAAGUAAAGGGACUUUUAUGUAAAAUUUAUUAGAGGGUUUUAUUAGCAAAAAGGGCUCCUAUAAAUAGUGAAAACCCUACCCAACUCUUUCUAUUCUUUCCCGUCAGCCUCUUCCCUUCUUCCUCCCGUCGUUGUUUUGCCGCACAAAAAAUUUUGAUUGGAUCUGUUUUGAAGGAGAGUAGGUCUUGUUACACAAAUAUAAGAGAGGUUCCUACAGGCUCCUCAGAAGCGUUGUGAGAGUUAAAGUUUGGUUUGCCAUUCGAAUUAAGAGACUCAGGAUUAGGUAGAAUUGAGGAUUGUUCAAAUUCUUAGAACGGAGCAAGGAAUAAAAUUCGAGAUUGAUAUUGUCUCCUAGGUGAAAGUUAAAUUAAGUCUUGAUGUUUAGUUGAUGAAUUAAGAGUUUUGUGAUAAUGAGAUUAUUUCCUUUAGGUCGAGUUUUAUUUCAAUUUGAGGAAAUAUUUAUUUAUUUCGAGUUAAUUGGAUUAAUGUUGACUUUUGGGAUUAUA